rnacentral:lncRNA from 1 species
CUCGCGGGUAUAGGAUUUUCAGAAAAAAAUAUAACAUUUAAUUUUCAUUACAAAUUUUAUAAAUUACCUUAAGUAGUUGUUACCUUAUCAUAUGGCACAAAAAUCAUUCCAAAAAAGCAAUUUGUGUUGGCCACAGCUGACUUUUAAAAUGUAGAUAUCAUUGAAAAAGCUCGAAAUUAUCUCCCUUUGGUGCAAAAAUGCCCUUUUU